rnacentral:rRNA from 1 species
AGCAAUCUGCCUUGGAGUGGGGAAUAACGGUUGGAAACAGCCGCUAAUACCGCAUGAUGCGUCUGGGAGGCAUCUCUCUGGACGCCAAAGAUUUAUCGCUCUGAGAUGAGCUCGCGUCUGAUUAGCUUGUUGGCGGGGUAAAGGCCCACCAAGGCGACGAUCAGUAGCCGGACUGAGAGGUUGGCCGGCCACAUUGGGACUGAGACACGGCCCAGACUCCUACGGGAGGCAGCAG